AUGAACGCUAGCGACAGGCCUAACACAUGCAAGUCGAGGGGCAGCGGGGAGGUAGCAAUACCUUUGCCGGCGACCGGCGCACGGGUGAGUAACACGUAUGCAAUCCACCUGUAACAGGGGGAUAACCCGGAGAAAUCCGGACUAAUACCCCAUAAUAUGGGCGCUCCGCAUGGAGAGUCCAUUAAAGAGAGCAAUCUUGGUUACAGACGAGCAUGCGCUCCAUUAGCCAGUUGGCGGGGUAACGGCCCACCAAGGCGACGAUGGAUAGGGGUUCUGAGAGGAAGGUCCCCCACAUUGGAACUGAGACACGGUCCAAACUCCUACGGGAGGCAGCAGUGAGGAAUAUUGGUCAAUGGUCGGCAGACUGAACCAGCCAAGUCGCGUGAGGGAAGACGGCCCUACGGGUUGUAAACCUCUUUUGUCGGAGAGUAAAGUACGCUACGUGUAGUGUAUUGCAAGUAUCCGAAGAAAAAGCAUCGGCUAACUCCGUGCCAGCAGCCGCGGUAAUACGGAGGAUGCGAGCGUUAUCCGGAUUUAUUGGGUUUAAAGGGUGCGUAGGCGGCACGCCAAGUCAGCGGUGAAAUUUCCGGGCUCAACCCGGACUGUGCCGUUGAAACUGGCGAGCUAGAGUGCACAAGAGGCAGGCGGAAUGCGUGGUGUAGCGGUGAAAUGCAUAGAUAUCACGCAGAACCCCGAUUGCGAAGGCAGCCUGCUAGGGUGCGACAGACGCUGAGGCACGAAAGCGUGGGUAUCGAACAGGAUUAGAUACCCUGGUAGUCCACGCCGUAAACGAUGAGUGCUAAGUGUUAGGGGGUUUCCGCCCCUUAGUGCUGCAGCUAACGCAUUAAGCACUCCGCCUGGGGAGUACGACCGCAAGGUUGAAACUCAAAGGAAUUGACGGGGGCCCGCACAAGCGGUGGAGCAUGUGGUUUAAUUCGAAGCAACGCGAAGAACCUUACCAGGUCUUGACAUCCCGAUGCUAUUCUUAGAGAUAGGAAGUUACUUCGGUACAUCGGAGACAGGUGGUGCAUGGUUGUCGUCAGCUCGUGCCGUGAGGUGUCGGCUUAAGUGCCAUAACGAGCGCAACCCCUAUGGACAGUUACUAACGGGUGAAGCCGAGGACUCUGUCUAGACUGCCGGCGCAAGCCGCGAGGAAGGUGGGGAUGACGUCAAAUCAGCACGGCCCUUACGUCCGGGGCGACACACGUGUUACAAUGGCAGGUACAGAAGGCAGCCAGUCAGCAAUGACGCGCGAAUCCCGAAAACCUGUCUCAGUUCGGAUUGGAGUCUGCAACCCGACUCCAUGAAGCUGGAUUCGCUAGUAAUCGCGCAUCAGCCAUGGCGCGGUGAAUACGUUCCCGGGCCUUGUACACACCGCCCGUCAAGCCAUGGAAGCCGGGAGUACCUGAAGCAUGCAACCGCAAGGAGCGUACGAAGGUAAUACCGGUAACUGGGGCU
rnacentral:rRNA from 1 species